AGCCGGGCGGGUCGAACAAAUCGCAGAACCAGGGUCGGAGGGAGCUGCGGUCCAGACGGGGAGUGAUUUACACGCGAAUGGAGAAAGAGACAGUUGGGACACAGCCAUUCUGAAUGAAAGAUCUGAUCAGCCAGCUUGUAGUUCAACACCAACAGAAGCCGAUGACUCUCAGCCUCUCGCUAAAAAGAAGGUAUUGAAAGUCCGGCGUUCUAACAAACGGAGAAAAGAAAGUAAUGAAAGAUCUGAUCGGCCAGCCGAAGCCGGUGGUAAGAAAAAUUAAAAUAAAAUAAUUCUUAGUUUUAUUAUCAUAUAAUCAU